UAGGGAAUCUUCGGCAAUGGACGAAAGUCUGACCGAGCAACGCCGCGUGAGUGAAGAAGGUGUUCGGAUCGUAAAACUCUGUUGUUAGAGAAGAACAAGGACGAUAGUAACUGAACGUCCCCUGACGGUAUCUAACCAGAAAGCCACGGCUAACUACGUGCCAGCAGCCGCGGUAAUACGUAGGUGGCAAGCGUUGUCCGGAUUUAUUGGGCGUAAAGCGAGCGCAGGCGGUUUCUUAAGUCUGAUGUGAAAGCCCCCGGCUCAACCGGGGAGGGUCAUUGGAAACUGGGAGACUUGAGUGCAGAAGAGGAGAGUGGAAUUCCAUGUGUAGCGGUGAAAUGCGUAGAUAUAUGGAGGAACACCAGUGGCGAAGGCGGCUAUCUGGUCUGUAACUGACGCUGAGGCUAGAAAGCGUGGGGAACAAACAGG
rnacentral:rRNA from 1 species